rnacentral:lncRNA from 1 species
UCAGCCUCUCAAAGUGCUGGGAUUACAGGCAUGAGCCACGGUGCCUGGGCUGACAAAUAUUUAUUAUUGAGUUUGUGGAACCCAGAAUGAUCUAGGGCCUCAGUGGCCACUGAACCCUGGGGCACACUUGAACAAAAAUAUGGGCUUCUCAGCCACUAUGCCUUGACAUCCUCUCUAAUCAGAAGUUUGUGUAAUAAGUGCAAAAGACAAUAUUCACAGUGACAAUGAUACUGUGAACUGCCAUAGGGAGAGUAGACAUGACUGUGGUGACAAUGCAGCGGCAGCAGGACCCUGUCCUCUCAUAAGUGGGCAUCCUUUCCCCAUGUGAACACCACAUAGCAGAAACGCCCAUCUUCCAAAGCCCUUUUAUCAUGUUAUGAAUUAUUUACACUUCCAUAUAUUUCAGUUAAAGAGUGGUAAUCAGAUCUGUAUGGAUGCCACUUGGGUCAUUUGUCAUUUCACUUGAAGGCAAAGAAAUGUUUUUAACUGGUAAGUACAACCUUAUCAUAAAAGUCUAUUUUCUGUAAGAAAUACUGAAAAUAUAUUAAAGACCUCCCUUAGUGCCCUUCAGGACACAUAAGAAUCCUAAUAUACCAGGUUGGGAACCAUUGCUAUAGGAUUUGAAAGGAAUAGUAAAUAGUAUUAUCUGAAAGUGAAGAGGAAGAAGAGAUUCUACUUAAAAAUAUUUGUUAAAUGACUGAAAGAAAUAAAUCUAUGAAGUCGUUUAGAACAUGGUCCUUUAGGGAAAGACCUGCCUGCUGUAGAUUCCAUUCACAUUUUAUACGUUUGUAAUGCCUUACAAAGCUAGUCUUUGCACUUAAAGCUACUGCUAACUGAGCAAUAGAAUCACACCUCAUAAGGCUUAAACUGUGUAUUUAAAGGUUUUGAUAGGGGAUCCAGAAAUCUGAGUGAAACCCUGGGUUCUGCAGGUACACAUGGCUCAUGUAUAAGGCAUUUGAAGGGCUUGUGGCCUUGAUGGGGAACACUGUCAACUCUGAUCCUGUUUGUCUGAGGUUACUUGGGGUACAAGAUGAAGACAGAAGGGCGUGCCUCCCUUCUGGAACCAUCACGGCCAGCAGCCGCAUGUUGGGCAGCUGCUGAUACUCAGGGUGCCCAGGCGGGAGAUGGUGAGAGGCCAGCCCUAGCCAAAUUCCUUGCUGCUGCCAGAGGAAGCAGUCUUGCCAUGUGUGUCCACAGGGAUAAGAUUAGCUGCCGAGGUGGAGCUGAUAUCUGAGCGAGGCUCUCGAGGACACAUUCUGGAUAGAUCUCCAUAUGGGAGUUGGAUGACUGCCACCAGCCAGUCUUGGCAGUCCCCAGAAUUCUUCUGAAGUGGACAGUGGAAGAAGUGAAACAUUUGCCUGGCAGCUGGCAUCAAUGCAGUCUCUCUCUGGACAUGCAGAAGAAAAGGUUCAAAAGGAACUGAACCCAAACCAGUCUUUAUUUGAUUUUAGAUGGAAUUAAAACAUUUUUGUGGGUCUCGACAAGUAUUGCCAGCACUGCACCUGCCACCCUGAUAGCAAACUCCAGUGGAAGUAACAGCAGAUCUUGCAAAUAGAGAAACAUCUGCCUCAGUUCUGAAGCAAGCAAGUGACCAUCCUCAUGCCACAAAAUAGAAGAACUUCUGCUAGAUCCAGAACUGUCACCCCUGGGUCGCAUGGAGGCCUUGAGGGUUGGGAUUCAAUCCUCAUUCCUGAGAAGGUGAGAAGCAUAGCAAGGAGGUCAGGGGAUCUGAGGGGCUUCAGUGAUGCCCCUUACUUGAGCUCUCUCUGAUCUCUCUUAACCAGGAGCUCUAGAACCCCAUUGUGAAUGUGGACAUUGUUAUGGAUGCAAAUGUCCACCUGUGCAGAGAAUUAGGCAAGACAGAGAGAGGUGUUUUUCUGGGAAGACUGUCUGAGCGAGCAACCACAAAGUUUCUGGUCAUGGUUCCUGCCCUGCCUCCCUCUCUACUUUGGAGCUCCUGUAACUCCAAGUGGAUAAUAUACGGUUUUGUUUUUGUCAUUGUUAUUGUUGAUGUUGCUUGUCUUUACUUUGUAAAAUAUGAACCUUUCAUCAUAUGAGUGAUUUUGGCAAAAUGCACCUCAGACAUUCAAAUACUUCCUAUUUAUUAAGCGCCUCCCACUGUGCAAUCCAUAUGCUAGGCACUGCAGAUGAUGUCUUAGUCUUUAUAACAACCUUGCAGGUUGGAUAGCAUUGUUCCCUUUUCAGAAAUGUGGGAACAUGCCCAAGGUUCAGGGUAUUCUAAGUGGGAGAAUUCAGAUCCAGCUCACUCAGAGGUCUCUGCUGGCCCAGGUCUGUCCAUUGUCUUCUAGUGUAAAUGAAGGCAGCUGCUCUGAAGGCAGGAGGACCAGGCUUAAUCUGAAACCUGUGAUCAUUGAAACAAGCAUGGCCUGCUCUGCACAGGGUUCAAAUGAAUAGGUCUCUAUUUUCUCCUUUCUACAUAAUCACUCAAAUAAGAUAGGGACUAGAGUCAGGCAAGUGAGACUCUCAUCCCAGGAAGAAAAUAGAAGGGAGCACAAAAAAACUCAGUAAUCAAGAUAAAUAAUAACUUUAAUACAAUACAGUGUUUUAAAAAAUCAAGUCCUCAAACUAUAGCUGUCUGCCUAGCUAUUUUUAAACAUAAAGCUUUACCAAGGCUGGGAUGAGGCUUGAGCAAAUGAGGCCAGUUGUACAAGUUCAGUGUCAGAUCCUAUUUAAAGUUUUGAUAUUUUGUUCAUCAUGUUUAUUUUUUUCAUUAAUUCUAUCUGAAGCACCCACCCACCUUCUCAGCAGAUAUCUCCCUCUGGGGCUACCCUUUCCACAUGAGUUAUAGGGACCUGUGAUGUGCAAAAGGAAGUUACACAACUUCUCUUCAUGAUUUCUGUCUUUUGGGCACAAAAUUCUGACUUUUGAAGAAUACAGUUGCAUAAUCACCACCACAAUCAAGAUAUACAACAGUUCCAUUAUCCUAAAUAGUCAUCCCAUCCUCCACUCCCAAUAACUGGCAACUACCGGUCUGUUUUUCUGUCCCUAUAGUUUUGCCUUUUCCAGAAUGUCAUUUACAUGGAACAAUAUAGUAUGAAGCCUCUUGAGCCUGGCUCCUUUCAUUUAGUAUAAGUAUCUGAGAGUCUUCCAUGUUGUGUGUAGCAGUAGUUCCUAUCUUUGUAUUGCUGGCUAGUAUUCCAUUGUUGGAUGUACUUAUUUGGGUUGUUUUCAGCUUGGGGAGGCUAUGAAUAAACCACUGUAAACACUUGC